AGGUGUGAGGAAGAAGAUGGUGGUGGGGCUGGUAUUUAUAGCCAAAACUCCUUGGCAUUUUGUGUGUUAAAGAUUCUCUCUUCUUUUUGAUUUUGGGCUUAAAGCUUCACUACUAUAUUGGUGUACACUAGCUGCCUCCUUGGAGCUUUAUGGAAGCAAGAAUCGAGAGGGAGGAGGAAGGAGAAAGGGAAAGGGUUCCCUUCUUGUAGCUACUUGGUUCCCAUACUAAUUUAGCCAACUCCUAGUCUUGCUUAAUAGAGUUGGUAGGAUGAAAAGUGUCAUAUAGGUGUGAGUGUUGUCUCUUUCACUUAUGUAAUUAUGUACUAAUAGCAUCUCCAUUAUCCAUGUAAUUGUAUUUCCAAAUUGUACUCUUAAUAAAAGCAUAUCUCUUACUUUUAUA